rnacentral:lncRNA from 1 species
CCCGGAGUCGCUCUGAUAUAGACCCCCUAUUCACCGUCCCAGUACUAGCUCCAGCCACUCUUUCUAAAACCCUUAACAUGGCUUGGGAUAAAGCGUCAUCCCCCGCAGCCCGAUCAUAAGACCCAGUCUCCGUUGCUUGUGGCACAGAUGGCUCCUCAGCUGGCCUAUGCCCUGAGGAUGAAGAUUCAGCUUGCACCCUUCCGCGACCACGUCCGCGGCCUCGUCCAC